GUCCACAGGGAAAGCAGGAGGAGAAAGGACCCAAGCCAGAUGCCCCUCUCACUUGGGCCCUGCCCCGAUUUCAUGCUUGACUCUGAGUUCACUCAACAGGAAGCAUUCUGGCAAAUCUUUUCAAAAGCUGGAAUCAAACUAAGCAAUGCACAGAAGCCAAAGGGACAGGGAAGACUGGAAUCCUGGAAUGUCGAAGAUCUCUGAAG